UAACAUCAUGCUAUUAACUUGGAAACUAAAACCAAAGCGUCUGCUUGGGUUUCUAAGUUUGAAUCUGUUUAGUCAAGUAUUGUUCUAUAAUAAUACACAAGUAUUGAAAUGACUCUCACCUCCUCCCCCACACACGCAUACUUGAAUUCCCAAGGGUGGGGUUACAUACACAUUGACUGCCAUGUGUAAAUAAGACUCACGGUCGAUGGGCUCCACCCUCAACCUGGAAGCUCAGGGUUCUUUCACCUUCUUUCAGAUACACGGAAGAACACAACUCACAGGAGACAACGGUGUGCAGCUGUUUCAGGAACUGAUACCGGAUUCUCAAAGAAGAAAUCAGAGUCGGGCCUCCACAGAAAAAUCAGCUUUUGGAUCAGCAAUGCCUCAAAUCCAGCUUUAACUUCGUAAACUUCCAGGAAUCUUAAAGAAGCCGAAUUCAUACCCCAGCCAAACAUCAUGAAUAUCUCACUUGAAAACCCAUAUGGUGACGUCACCAUUCCCCGCGCCAAGCUGCGCGACGACUCCAGCACCAUCAUCAUGAACCCCAUGGCCUUAGAGAGCUCCUACAACCGCACUAAUGGCACGAACCCUUACGGCAGCUUCAAAACGCCAGGGUCCAACGUGCCGGUUUACGGGGAGACCAAAAAUCCCCCUGCUUACAGCAGUCAGGGGACGUACACGGUGAAGGAAGAUGAAGAGCAGGUGGGACGAUGCUAUGCCUGUUGCUGUCGUUGCCGAAGGAAGAAAUGAGACCUGCAUUCCAGUGCAAAGGAUUACGGGUUGUAAAGGAUUAUGAAUUGAGAUGGAUGAGCAAAUGUCUCCCAAACCCGGUCAAACUGUGUUGAAGCUUCACAUUACACUAAGCUAAACUGAAUGGAUUUCGUGCAGCAUCUAUGAAGCUAUUAUGAACUAUGAAAUGUCACCAAAAUGGUCUGACUUAAAUAUGUACAUUUGGAUUCAUAUCUCAGACAUCGCCUGUGUUAAAUGUUUUUUGUUGAACCACCUCACCUUUGUUUGCCUGUUACAAUAGCUCUGAUGUUUCUGUGAGCAAGAGCAAACAAUGACAUGCGUUACACUUGAUUUUAAGUACUGCAACCAAGUCAAACACAACACGGUAUACUUCAAGUUUUGCUAUUUCUGCUACACGUGUAAAUGCCGAUAUUUAAACUAAAUAUAUGUUGAGUGGCUGAGGGCCGGGUGGAUUGCAAUGAUACUGCUCAUCUCUUCAUUUUACAUGUAUAUCUAGGUGGGCUCCUCCAAGUUUUUAUGGAAAGUGGGAAACAGCCCAUUUUGCCUUAGGGGAAAAACUCUCAUUGUUUUGCAAAGAGGAACACAAAGAGACACUUUCAAACUUUCCAGAAGAAUGAUUGUGCCAAUCGUAGUUUCUAUUGAACAAGAUUUUCCGGUUACUUUAAAUAUACAAAUAAUACACUGUGACUUCCUUUACAGACUUAAUUGCAUAUUAAAGAACACAAAUACUAAAUUGAUUUAAUGAUAAACCAUAUUGUACAGGAUGCAUUUAAUAAAAUAGGAAUAUGCACAAUUUUUUGACACUUGAUCCCCCAAACUGGCGCGGUCAAGUGAGUGGGACACCUGAGUUAACUUCAAUAUUUUGCAUUUAAAUUUUAAUCUAUCACGACAAACUAUAUAUCGUUGGAAAGGUGUAAGAAUGUAGUUUAUAUAUAUAUAUUUUAAACCUUUUAGCAGUAAUAAUAAUGCAGUGACAGUAAUUUAUUAAUUUGUGACAAGAGUAUGCAGCAAACCACUGACACCUAGUGGCCGUUGUUGGUAAAACCACUAAAGGUCACAAACACAAAUCUUAUUGUAUAAAAUAUUUACUAUAUUUUUUUUACAAUAAAUGUAAACCGUUAUAACCUCUAGACACUUCCGUGAAAAACUUUUAACGUGUCUUCUUUAAAUCAAGACCAAGAUUAGGCUUCUAGACCAAAAACGUUGUAUUCAUUUGAAGGUGUACAUCACUUUUUCACCAGCCUCCCCACACAAAAAAAGACUGCGCCAGUUAAGGGGUUAAAAUUUAUUUUGUCUCAGAAGUGCAUAUUUGCAUUGUGUUUCUCACGCUGUACUUAUAUUAAGUAGUCAUACGCCUAGUUUCCAUUAAGGUGACUCAGGCGAUGUUGAUGAUGAGAAAUUCUUUGUAUCUGAGUAAGCACAGGCAGUCCUACUGAACAGGUUUGGGACACAGGGCCUGUACUUCCUGGAAUAACACAGAACAAGGCAGACCGGUCGGUUAAAGGUGUAAUGAAACGUGUGUUAACUUUUAUCUGCAGCACAGUCCUGCAAAAUGUAACUUUGUCCAGUGUAUACACUUUACAGUAUUUACAUAGACACUUUACUGGAUUUUUGAACUUGUUGUUCAGUUUAAUAAACAUGAAAUGAAGUUCU